CCUACGGGAGGCAGCAGUGAGGAAUAUUGGUCAAUGGACGAGAGUCUGAACCAGCCAAGUAGCGUGAAGGAUGACUGCCCUAUGGGUUGUAAACUUCUUUUAUAUGGGAAUAAAAUGUUCCACGUGUGGGAUUUUGUAUGUACCAUAUGAAUAAGGAUCGGCUAACUCCGUGCCAGCAGCCGCGGUAAUAAGGAGGAUCCGAGCGUUAUCCGGAUUUAUUGGGUUUAAAGGGCGCGUAGGUGGAUUGUUAAGUCAGUUGUGAAAGUUUGCGGCUCAACCGUAAAAUUGCAGUUGAAACUGGCAGUCUUGAGUACAGUAGAGGUGGGCGGAAUUCGUGGUGUAGCGGUGAAAUGCUUAGAUAUCACGAAGAACUCCGAUUGCGAAGGCAGUUCACUGGACUGUAACUGACACUGAGGCUCGAAAGUGUGGGUAUCAAACAGGAUUAGAUACCCCUGUAGUC
rnacentral:rRNA from 1 species